CGGGGAGGUUGGCCUGCACCCCCCACAGGUGCCCCCACACAUGGACCUCCUCAGGCAGCUCAACACAGUGUCCACCAACAGCUCCAAGGAAUGGUGGGACAUCCGGCACAGCAAGGAUGGGCUGGCGGAGGAGGAGCUGUCCGUGACUGGCUGCAGAGUGGUGUGGUCCCGAGAUCAGGCUGGCCGAGUGGGGUCCCGGCAGGUUGUCAAGUGCACGACCUGAGACUCGGCUGUGAUACAUGCCAUGCUCGCCUCCUCCUACACCUGCCCAGACCAACCGUCCCUGCUGGGAGAACCUGUCCCUCGAGAACCCACGGGUUCAAUCACACGCUCUGCGAAGCUUACGUGGAGGAAAACUGGUCUCCCGGCCAGGUGGUCAUCAACCUUGUGGCCACGGACUUUGACGCCUGGGACCUGGGCAAGCUGAGAUACACCGUCCUGCACCAGACCUCAGAGGCAGCCGUCACCAUGAACAAUGA